AACGAACGCUGGCGGCAUGCCUAACACAUGCAAGUCGAACGAGACCUUCGGGUCUAGUGGCGCACGGGUGCGUAACGCGUGGGAACCUGCCCUUAGGUUCGGAAUAACUCCCCGAAAGGGGUGCUAAUACCGGAUAAUGUCUUCGGACCAAAGAUUUAUCGCCUUUGGAUGGGCCCGCGUUGGAUUAGCUAGUUGGUGGGUAAAAGCCUACCAAGGCGACGAUCCAUAGCUGGUCUGAGAGGAUGAUCAGCCACACUGGGACUGAGACACGGCCCAGACUCCUACGGGAGGCAGCAGUGGGGAAUAUUGGACAAUGGGCGAAAGCCUGAUCCAGCAAUGCCGCGUGAGUGAUGAAGGCCUUAGGGUUGUAAAGCUCUUUUACCCGGGAUGAUAAUGACAGUACCGGGAGAAUAAGCUCCGGCUAACUCCGUG
rnacentral:rRNA from 1 species